rnacentral:rRNA from 1 species
CACGUAUUUAGCCGGGGCUUCCUCCUAUGAUACCGUCAUUAUCUUCUCAUAGGACAGAGCUUUACGAUUCGAAAACCUUCUUCGCUCACGCGGCGUCGCUACAUCAGGGUUCCCCCCAUUGUGCAAUAUUCCCCACUGCUGCCUCCCGUAGGAGUUUGGACCGUGUCUCAGUUCCAAUGUGGCCGUUCAUCCUCUCAGACCGGCUACUGAUCGUCGCCUUGGUAGGCCUUUACCCUUCCAACUAGCUAAUCAGACGCGAGCCCUUCUUACACCGAUAAAUCUUUGACCCCUAUAUCAUGCGAUUCUGUGGUCUCAUGCGGUAUUAAUCGUCGUUUCCAACGGCUAUCCCCCUGUGUAAGGUAGGUUGCUCACGUGUUACUCACCCGUUCGCCACUUUCAUUUCAUUUCCAUUCCCGAAAGAAUUUCCACAAAAAUCACGUUCGACUUGCAUGUGUUAAGCACGCCGCCAGCGUUGUCCUGAGCCACGGAUCAAACUCU